CGCCUAACACAUGCAAGUCGAACGCAGUAGCAAUACUGAGUGGCAAACGGGUGAGUAUAAUGUGGGAAUCUGCCUUUUGGUUCGGAACAACACGGGGAAACCUGUGCUAAUACCGGAUAAGUCCUUACGGAGAAAGCUUUAUGCACCAUUGGAUGAGCCCGCACUUGAUUAGUUAGUUGGUAGGGUAAUGGCCUACCAAGACUGUGAUCAAUAGCUGAUUUGAGAGGAUGAUCAGCCACACUGGGACUGAGACACGGCCCAGACUCC
rnacentral:rRNA from 1 species